rnacentral:rRNA from 1 species
CUUGUAGGUGGUUUGUCGCGUUGUUCGUGAAAUCUCACGGCUUAACUGUGAGCGUGCGGGCGAUACGGGCAGACUAGAGUACUGCAGGGGAGACUGGAAUUCCUGGUGUAGCGGUGGAAUGCGCAGAUAUCAGGAGGAACACCGGUGGCGAAGGCGGGUCUCUGGGCAGUAACUGACGCUGAGAAGCGAAAGCGUGGGAGCGAACA